rnacentral:rRNA from 1 species
UUUUUUGUGGGGGGGGGGGGAAAAAAAAAAAAANNCCCCCCGGGGGGGGGGGGGUUUUUUUUUCCCCCCCCCGCUUGUUUGGUAAAAAAAAGGGGGGGGUAUUAUUUUUUCCGGAGAACAAAGGUUAUUUCCCUGGGGGCCGCCGAGAAGAAGUAUCAAAGAAUGUAAGAGUAGAAAGCUACAAUCUAGUUUCGCCUAGUGACCUGCGGAAGGAUCAUUACCUAGAGUGUAGGCGUUUGCCUGCUAUCUCUUACCCAUGUCUUUUGAGUACCUUCGUUUCCUCCGGCGGGUCCGCCCGACAAUGUGGACAAUUUAAACCAUUUGCAGUUGCAAUCAGCGUCUGAAAAAACUUAAUAGUUACAACUUUCAACAACGGAUCUCUUGGUUCUGGCAUCGAUGAAGAACGCAGCGAAAUGCGAUAAGUAGUGUGAAUUGCAGAAUUCAGUGAAUCAUCGAAUCUUUGAACGCACAUUGCGCCCCUUGGUAUUCCAUGGGGCAUGCCUGUUCGAGCGUCAUUUGUACCUUCAAGCUCUGCUUGGUGUUGGGUGUUUGUCUCGCCUCUGCGCGCAGACUCGCCUCAAAACAAUUGGCAGCCGGCGUAUUGAUUUCGGAGCGCAGUACAUCUCGCGCUUUGCACUCAUAACGACGACGUCCAAAAGUACAUUUUUACACUCUUGACCUCGGAUCAGGUAGGGAUACCCGCUGAACUUAAGCAUAUCAUNAGCGGGACGGACGGUCGCGUACGGA